AGGUUCAGAAUUCACAUACAAGCACCCUUCGCACAUUCCUACCUUCUCUGCGCUCUCCGCCCGAAGCCUUCCGGCCCUCCCGGAGCCCCUAAUCUCCCGCUCACGGUGAGAACUUCCCCCCCAAAAUGCCGAAACAAUCUCUUGUUAUUUCAAAGGCGCGUUGCUUACGCAAGUCUUUAUCCAUUCUUCUUGAACGUCCUUCGCCCCCAACUAAUCAGGCAGCGUGCAUGCUCGAGCGUCCUUCCCAUCAAGCUCUGCUUGCUUGGACGACAGCUUUGCGGCGUCAUACCUCUGCAUGACGUGACUACUAGCUCUUAAAACAGAGCCUUCUAACCCCACGUUCCUAUUGACGACUCUCAGCUCCUGGAAAACGGCCUCCUUUAGCGCGCGUUCAGCCGGGCCGCCGGAGACACCACGAACUCUGUCUGAUCUAGUGAAGUCUGAGUUGAUUGUAUCGCAAUCAGUUAAAACUUCAACAAUGGAUCUCUUGGUUCCGGCAUCGAUGAAGAACGCAGCGAAAUGCGAUAACUAGUGUGAAUUGCAGAAUUCCGUGAAUCAUCGAGUCUUGAACGCACAUUGCGCCUGGUAUUCGGGCAUGCCUGUCCGAGCGUCAUUGCUGCCCAUCAAGCACGGCUUGUGUGUUGGGUCGUCGUCCCCUCUCCGGGGGGGACGGGCCCCAAAGGCAGCGGCGGCACCGCGUCCGAUCCUCGAGCGCCAGGUGGGUUCCGAGAGUUUAACACCCCAAUAUUAACUCCAACCCAUACCCGGAUAAACUCUCGGUGAAAUUCUCUUCUCUUAAUGGGAGGAAUUCUAAACCUCCUUUCUGCCUCAUACUUCUUAAACCUCCAUCUUAUUCCAUUAUACGAUGACGAUCGCCUCAUCUUGUCUAAGCAGCUACUAUACAUAACUCACUUGCUAUCCCAUUCUCGUUACUAUACUGACUUUAUCCCCGUAGUCCGUUCUUA
rnacentral:sRNA from 1 species